UACGUAGGCGGGUUAAUAAGUCAGUGGUGAAAUCCUACAGCUCAACUGUAGAACUGCCAUUGAUACUGUUAAUCUUGAAUGUAGUUGAAGUGGGCGGAAUGUAUCAUGUAGCGGUGAAAUGCAUAGAUAUGAUAUAGAACACCAAUUGCGAAGGCAGCUCACUAAACUAUUAUUGACGCUAAUGUACGAAAGCGUGGGGAGCGAACAGGAUUAGAUACCCUGGUAGUCC
rnacentral:rRNA from 1 species